rnacentral:rRNA from 1 species
UUCGCAAUGCCCGAAAGGGUGAACGAGCGACGCCGCGUGCGGGAUGAAGGGUUUCGGCUUGUAAACCGCUUUUCUUUGGGAAGAAGGUCUGUCUCGUGAAGAUGGGCUCGACGGUACCAGAGGAAUAAGCCUCGGCUAACUCCGUGCCAGCAGCCGCGGUAGGACGGAGGAGGCGAGCGUUGUUCGGAAUUAUUGGGCGUAAAGAGCGCGCAGGCGGCAUAAUAAGUCAGGUGUGAAAUCUCCCGGCUCAACUGGGAGGGUGCAUUUGAUACUGUUAAGCUGGAGUGCAGCAGAGGGAGAUGGAAUUCCCGGUGUAGUGGUGAAAUGCGUAGAUAUCGGGAGGAACACCAGUGGCGAAAGCGGUCUCCUGGGCUGUAACUGACGCUGAGGCGCGAAAGCGUGGGGAGCGAACCGGAUUAGAUACCCGGGUAGUCCACGCCGUAAACGAUGGGCACUAAGUAGAGGGGUUUU